GCCGCAGUGAUGGAACGGUAAGACAUCGCAGGAUUAUCCCUUCCCACCCCCUGUGGUCUAUAGGACAGCACGGGUUCGACUCCCGGCUGCGGCA
rnacentral:tRNA from 2 species